GAAUUUUAUAAAUCUAAUACAUUGCCCAUGCCCUAGCUCCCCACACGGUGCCGAGCUCCCUCUUCCCCGAGCCUCACCUCGCAAUGCGCCUCCUCUCCUUCGUCCCCGAGCCCUCUCCCUCUCGCGAACCUUUCUCCCCAAAACCCGCCGACUACAUCCUUUCCCUCUCCCUCGUCCCCGAGCCAUUACCCUCACUGCCUCUUCUCCUCACGCGAGCACCACAGUCGCGACUCUUCUCCCUCGCACGAGCCCCAUAGAUCGCAACCGUCGACCUCUCCUCACACGGGCACCAUAGCCGCCGAGCCACAGUCGCCGGUGAUCUCUUCUCUCUCGAGCAAUAGCCGGCGAUCUUUCCCUCACGCAAACACCAAGACGCCACCGGCUCUCCUCCUCACGCAAGCACCCCAGCGUCGUCGAUCCUCUCCUUGCACGAGCACCCCAGACGCCACCUCUUCCCUCUUCCCUAGCGUCGACCGCCCGAUCCACUGCCACCUCCGGCCAUGACGAAAGCUAGCCAACAAGUACAUCCUGUAUAUUGGUAGCAGGUAGAUGAGUCAUGGAUGCUUGGAGAGUCCCGGCUGCCAGUCUCACGUCACAUUCGAGGAUGAUUUUCUUUUUGGUUUUGUUACUGUUUGGGUGGUAUGUUAAUUUUGCAUAUUUUUCUUUUGAAUAACUCGAUGUGGAUUUUGGAGUCUAGUCUGGUGGUUGUAGGUAUUUUAGUUAGUGACUUGGUUGGUCUUAUAUUCGUAUUUCUUUGUGAUUUUUUCGCCGUGUUUACUUCCAGUCGUGUGGGCUGUUAUUAUACUGUGGGGUUGUGUGUUCACUUUCAGCCAUGUGUGCUUAUCAUACUGCGUGGUUGUGUGUUUACUUUCAGCCGUGUGGACUUAUUAUAUUGUGUGGUUAUGUUUAUAUCUAGCCAUAUGGGUUGUUGAAUA